rnacentral:snoRNA from 1 species
CCCUCCUACAAAGGUGUGCCUGUGGUUUCCUGUCCUUAGACAAGUAAGCACUGGAGAUAAAGAGAUGGGGACCUGGAGAAGUCUGGAGCCACCCAUUCCCACACAG